rnacentral:rRNA from 1 species
GAUGAACGCUGACAGAAUGCUUAACACAUGCAAGUCUUUGGCGAAGCUGUGCUUGCACCGCCUAGCCAAGGCGGACGGGUGAGUAACGCGUAAGGAACUUGCCCUGCAGUCAGGGAUAACAGACGGAAACGACUGAUAAGACCUGGUAAAGUCAGGCGGACUCAUGUCCAGCCUGAUGAAAAUAGAUGCUGCAGGAGAGCCUUGCAUCCUAUUAGCUUGUUGGUGGGGUAACGGCCCACCAAGGCGAUGAUAGGUAGCCGGCCUGAGAGGGUGGACGGCCACAAGGGGACUGAGAUACGGCCGUUACUACUACGGGAGGCAGCAGUGGGGAAUAUUGGACAAUGGGGGCAACCCUGAUCCAGCAAUUCUGUGUGCACGAUGAAGGUUUUCGGAUUGUAAAGUGCCUUCAGCAGGGAAGAAAAAAAUGACGGUACCUGCAGAAGAAGCGACGGCUAAAUACGUG